rnacentral:tRNA from 1 species
AGCCCGGUGGUGUAGCGGCAAGCAUACUGGCCUUUGGAGCCGGUGACCUAGGUUCGAAUCCUAGCCGGGCUA